UACGAGAAUUCCUCCUAGAGAAUCCCAACUGUCGGCUUAUGACGGGGAGCAGAACUGAUCGGCCGUGAAUGAAUGUUUUAAAAGAGAGAGAGAGUGUGUUUAUGGCAGAGCGUUAGAGAGAGAGAGGGAGAAUGCAGGAGAAAAGGCCGACCCGGUCAAUCAACUGCGGUCUCCCACGCUUCACUUCACUUGGUCGGAGAACGAACACGCCUACACCCCGCUCCGCCAAUCAUCCCCCUUCUGAUCUUCUCUUUUCUCGUGAUAUUAUUGUUUCUAUAUACUUUCAGAUUCAUAAUUAGGGUUUUUUUUUACUUUUGUAAACUAUAGGAAUUCAUGAUGGCUUCGAAACGGAUCUUGAAAGAACUCAAGGAUCUCCGGAAGGAUCCUCCUACCUCUUGCAGUGCAGGUUUCUUUCUAUCGGGCUGAAGGCCUGCUUGGUUCAUAAAGUUCAGAGAAUGUAUUCGAAUUCAUCCACAGAGCUUUGUGAUGGACCAAUUAACGCCUUUACAGUAACGUGUACUGUAACCAUGGGUUCAUUUAUGUAACCUCACAGGGUACGUUGGAGAUCUGUCUACUUCUAUCUUUUUUAGCAUAUGACAAUUAUUGGCCAGUACAAAAGAUCCCCUUGAAGGCCACUCGGCAUCAAGUAACAUACUUUGCUGAGAAGAACCUAUACCCACUUAUAGUUUCUGUUCCUGCGAGUAGAUUCUUUGGUUGACCAUUAAUAUAAUGUGUUCUAUUUCAAACAUUCAUAAUUACAUUAUGACAAAUAUUAAUAGUAUAAAAGAUGAACCAGUUUUCAUAUUGGCUCUUUGCAGGUCUCAAAGCCUAUAAAUCAAGUGCUAUCAACUCUGGUUGAUCAAGAAUCUGGCCACCAAAUUGAGCAUGAUAAUUUAAAUCUUGAUGGUACUUAAUACUGUUGAAGAAUUCGAGGUUAGAAUUUUGGAACCAGAGAGUUCUGGUGGGCCAUGGCAAAUAAAAGGAACUAUUCACAUACAAACUUCUGAGCCUGCGUUAACUGUCAGUGGUUACAUUAUCUAAUACAACAACAAGAGAGAAUGAAACUCUGUUGGCAAUUGGGACUGCCUAUGUGCAAGGGGAAGAUGUAGCUGCAAGAGGACGUGUUCUUUUGUUCUCAGUUGAAAAUAGCACUGAGAAUUCACCGGCAAAGGCAAAGUGCUCAUUGUGGUGGCUCAAUGGUGAUUCCAACAAGGCCGUGGGCGGCUGGAGCUUUUUGUUGCUGUUGUUGAAGCCUCCUUUAGUUCCUGGAUUAGGGGGGAAAAGUAAGGAGCUAGGAUAAUGAUGUAAACUGUACUGUAUAUGGUGAUAAUUUGGUCAACUUUGUUUUCAUAUUUUGCACCUACACAUAUUUUUCUCAUUGAUGUUCUCAUGUUUCCUAGGCUUACUUUCUUACGUCUGUGCAGUGCCCCGAUUUGAGAGGAGAUCGGGUUUCUACUCCCUUAACUGACCAGGUACAUGCGUUUAUAGUGCUCAGUAUUGGUGAGUUCUUUAACUUUUGCAUUGGCUCAUUUCAAUAUGCAGAGAAUGUUACGACUUGUGUUUCUUGGGAUGGUAAUGGGCACGGUUUAUGCGUAGUCAAGAAACUUACCGUAUUGAUACGUAGUUCUUUAACUUUUACACAGCCUUUGGAAUGCCUUUGUGAUCAUAGAUCUUAUGACGUAGUUUUUUCCUUACGUCUCAUUUUGCCAAUUUAUUUUUCUACUUUUGUACAAAAAUAAUGUUUGGGAUUAAUAAUUGAUACGUUUUUUUUUUAUUUCAGUACAGAGGAUAAGAUCAUCGUCUUGUAGCAUUAGAACUAAACCAGAUUGUCUCUAGGUUAGUUUGAUAUAAAAAUAUUGUCAUUUGUUUAUGGAUCACAAUGUAAAUUUCCUGCACUAUUUCUCAGCUUAAUAGUAAAACUAUUUAUUAAUA